rfam:Loxodonta africana unplaced genomic scaffold scaffold_4, whole genome shotgun sequence.
UGGCAUAAUGGUUAAGCAUUUGGCUGCUAACCAAAAGGUUGGUGGUUCGAACCCACC